CUACUACUCCCUCCGUCCAGAAAUACUUGUCCUAAAAAAGAAUAAAAUGGAUGUAUGUAUAACUAAAGUAAAUCUAGAUACAUCCAUUUCUAGGACAAGUAUUUCCGAAUGGAGGGAGUAUUCC
rfam:Hordeum vulgare subsp. vulgare, WGS project CAJW01000000 data, contig: morex_contig_2338552